GGUCAUGCUGAAGGCCUGUUUCCUCGGCUACAUGCAGGGGACUGGUUCCUUGUUCUUCUGCCUAGGGGAAAGUCCCCAGACCUCAGGCAGAGAGUGUGGCGUGCAUGCGCACGUGGACAUCCUUCCAUUUCUCACUCUUAAAACCCACCAAGAAGCGAAUCUCGCCAAGCGGAGUGGUGCGGAGGCAUCGUCUGUCAGCUCCACUAGUUAAGCAGGCAGUGAGUGUCUUAGCGCUCCAACCACAUGGGGCUCAUUCUCAGCGCGGC
rnacentral:RNase_MRP_RNA from 2 species